rnacentral:rRNA from 1 species
AUGGCUCAGGAUGAACGCGUAGCGGCAGGCCUAAUACAUGCAAGUCGGACGGGAGUCCCCCUCGGGGGACGAGAGUGGCGGACGGGUGCGCAACGCGUAUGCAACCCACCCCGACCCGGGGCAUAGCCGGUGGAAACGCCGGGUAAUGCGCCAUGAGCCGCGCAGGGGGCAUCCCCCGCGAGGCAAAGCGAGAGCGGGACGGGACGGGCAUGCGUCCCAUUAGCUUGUUGGCGGGGUGAAGGCCCACCAAGGCUACGAUGGGUAGGGGAUCUGAGAGGACGGUCCCCCACACUGGUACUGAGACACGGACCAGACUCCUGCGGGAGGCAGCAGUAAGGAAUAUUGGUCAAUGGGCGCGAGCCUGAACCAGCCAAGUAAGCGUGCAGGACGACGGCCCUAUGGGUUGUAAACUGCUUUUAUGCGGGGAUAAAGUGACGUACGUGUACGUUUUUGUAGGUACCGCAUGAAUAAGGACCGGCUAAUUCCGUGCCAGCCGCCGC